rnacentral:rRNA from 1 species
UGAUGAAGAACGCAGCGAAAUGCGAUACCUGGUGUGAAUUGCAGAAUCCCGCGAACCAUCGAGUCUUUGAACGCAAGUUGCGCCCGAGGCCAUCCGGCCGAGGGCACGCCUGCCUGGGCGUCACGCUAAACACGCUC